GACGAACGCUGGCGGCGUGCUUAACACAUGCAAGUCGAACGGAAAGGCCCUGCUUGUGUGGGGUGCUCGAGUGGCGAACGGGUGAGUAACACGUGAGUAACCUGCCCUUGACUUUGGGAUAACUUCAGGAAACUGGGGCUAAUACCGGAUAGGAGCUCCUGCUGCAUGGUGGGGGUUGGAAAGUUUCGGCGGUUGGGGAUGGACUCGCGGCUUAUCAGCUUGUUGGUGGGGUAGUGGCUUACCAAGGCUUUGACGGGUAGCCGGCCUGAGAGGGUGACCGGCGACAUUGGGACUGAGAUACGGCCCAGACUCCUACGGGAGGCAGCAGUGGGGAAUAUUGCACAAUGGGCGGAAGCCUGAUGCAGCAACGCCGCGUGCGGGAUGACGGCCUUCGGGUUGUAAACCGCUUUCGCCUGUGACGAAGCGUGAGUGACGGUAAUGGGUAAAGAAGCACCGGCUAACUACGUG
rnacentral:rRNA from 1 species